UGUGUUGAGCCGUGGUUAAAAAACAAAGACAAAGUGAGAUUGUAGUUCAGGUUAAAAGAGCAUCCUUCAUGCGAAGGGGGCAACAUCUGGAGAGGCGCAAAGGACAGCAAUACACUGAAGAUUCAAAGACGUGUGGAUUUAUCUUAUAAACAAA